GCACUCACCUAUCCACUAAACAGCAACUUCAAUGUUGAAAGAUUUUAUUUGUUUUUUUUUAAAAAAACAAAUAAAAUCUUUCAACAUUGAAGUUGCUGUUUAGUGGAUAGGUGAGUGC